rnacentral:rRNA from 1 species
GCCUACGUCGGAUUAGCUUGUUGGUAGGGUAAAAGCCUACCAAGGCGACGAUCCGUAGCUGGUUUGAGAGGAUGAUCAGCCACACUGGGACUGAGACACGGCCCAG